UCCGACUUGAAGGUCGGCAGUCUCGUUAGAGUGCUCAACUGAAUGGUAGCAACUAAUGACAAGGGUUGCGCUCGUUGCGGGACUUAACCCAACAUCUCACGACACGAGCUGACGACAGCCAUGCAGCACCUGUGUUACGGUUCUCUUUCGAGCACACCUCGAUCUCUCGUGGCUUCCGUACAUGUCAAGGGUAGGUAAGGUUAUUCGCGUUGCAUCGAAUUAAUCCACAUCAUCCACCGCUUGUGCGGGUCCCCGUCAAUUCCUUUGAGUUUUAAUCUUGCGACCGUACUCCCCAGGCGGUCAACUUCACGCGUUAGCUGCGGUACUGAGAAAUUGCUUCCCCAACACCUAGUUGACAUAGUUUAGGGCGUGGACUAC
rnacentral:misc_RNA from 1 species